AACAACGGAUUCGAUAAAGAUCGUAAUACGCGAGCUUGGAAGCGGCCGGUCAACUGUCAACAGGUGGCUCUUACCUAACCCAAUUCACACUGUCAACGUCAAGGCAAAUUUAAACGUAAAUAUUGAAAAUUUAACGGUAUUGAAAUAUGGAAAAAUUACUGGUACUUCGCUCGAAAGGUAUGGUACGACCUUACUGCAACGAAUGUGAAUCCUUGGUGGACCUGGAACCUUUUUAUACCCAUCGCAGGAAUUUGGAUGCCGACGACUCACGAACAUCCUCGGAACCAAUCGUUGAAUAAAAAUGCAAUUGGGAAAACUUAAGGAAAAUAGAGUUUUUCCUCAUAAAAAUGGUGAAAACAGCGGGACAAAAGCUGGCCACAUGUGUACAAGAAAACCGGCUUUUUAGGAAAACCGCGGGAAACUGAAUCAUGAUUUAUAUUAUAUUUUGACACACCGGGCAUACCCCUUCAUUUAACAGGGCUUCCCAAGUUUUAGGCAUUUGUGGUUCUUUAUUAUCCUAAGAAUAACCAAGGGUGAAAACAGUAAGGCCAGAGACUACAACAUAGUUAACGGAGAACUAGGCAUAACCUAUAAGAAAUCAAACCUUUCCAGGAUACUAUCAAGCUAGCAACCUCUUUAAGUUGGUUUCUUUAUAAAUGUUUAGAAUUAUAAACCCCUCAUGACUCACAGGUAAAGCUUAAAAUGUAUCUUUUUGUUAUGUAAAUUAUAAAUUUAGAGGUUAAAAUGUUAACGGAGCACAACUAUCUAAGUUAUCUUAUAAAAGACUGCCUGGGCUUACCCUUAUUACUAUAAAAUAAAGACAAAAUCUUGUAACUUCGUUACAAGCUGAAAUUGGUAUUAAAACUGUUUAUAAUGCCACUGCCACACCCAGAGCAAAUGGACAGGUAGAACGAUACAACCGAACAAUUUUAUCAGCGUUGGCAGCGUCUGCUAAUAACGAAGAUGUUUGGGAUCAGAAUACUCCACAAAUUCAAUUUGAAAUUAAUGCUUGCAUUAACGAAACUACGGGGAAAAGUCCUCAUGAGUUACUUUUUGGGUAUAAGCCUAGAGGAGUCAAAGAUGCAUUUUUGACUAACGAAAUCUGUGACUUACAUGCAAAAAUCGAUGUUGCUAAAAAUCGGCAAGAAGCAGCCGAGUCUACUGAAAAAAGUCAGCAAAAACAAAAGACUCUUUUUGAUGCGAAAUGAAAAUCAGUUAGUUUUCAAGUUCAUGAUUUGGUCCUGCUUCAGAAAAAAAAUAUUAUCAGUGAUGUAAAAAGCAAAAAGCUGCUACCCAAAUAUGAUGGUCCAUACAGAAAAAAAAAGUCUUAGAUCAUGAUCGUCAUGUGGUAGAAGGUCUACCCAGAGAGGAUGGAUCGAAGAAACGCUAUGUUGGGAUUUGAGCAGUAGAUAAAAUGAAGACGUAUAAUAUCCAGCAAGAAGAUUUUGAGCUUUUACCCGAAGAUGACGGCAAAAAGUCGCCUUACGGCAAUACGUGCCAAGGUGAAAAGUCACCUACGGGCAAUACGUGCCCAGGCGAAGAGUCGCCUAAAGGCAAUACGUGCCAAGGUGAAAAGACACCUGAGGGUAAUACGUGCCCAUCGGGCGAAACGUCGUCCAAUGGCAAUACGUGCCAAAGCGAAAAGUCGCUUAACGGCAACACGUGCCAAGAUGUCACCAAAAACGUUGGUGUAAAACUAAAGAAAAAGUCCUCUAGAGUCUUAGACUCUUUUAGAAAUGUGGCAUCAGCUGGAAGAAAACCAGUACGUGAUCAAGGUAAAAGUACUUCGAUUGAAGAUGCUGAUUUCGGGAAGGAUCUAAAACUAAAGCUUAUUAAGAAACGUUCAGCGUAGAAUAAUUCUCGCUGGGUGAUUUUAGAAGACUAGUUUACUAAUAUUAUGUUAUUGUUCUAGGUUAACGGUUGCUGGAAGACAGCAAAUGACGUUUCGAGGCGAGACUUCGGUAGCAUUGGCCGACUAUAAGCAACUUUGGCGACGGCGGUUCACCGCCUUAUUAUUUGGUUUGAGGU